rnacentral:rRNA from 1 species
AAUGAACGUUGGCGGCGUGGAUUAGGCAUGCAAGUCGAGCGCGAACCGUAGCAAUACGGGGAGAGCGGCGAAAGGGAGAGGAACACGUGGAUACGUACCCUCGGGUUCAGGAUAGCCAUGGGAAACUAUGGGUAAUACUGAAUAACAUCUCCGGAUCAAAGGUGUGAUUCCGCCCGGGGAGCGGUCCGCGGCCUAUUAGCUGGUUGGUGAGGUAACGGCUCACCAAGGCAAAGAUGGGUAUGGGGUGUGAGAGCAUGCCCCCACUCACUGGGACUGAGACACUGCCCAGACACCUACGGGUGGCUGCAGUCGAGAAUCUUCGGCAAUGGGGGAAACCCUGACCGAGCGACGCCGCGUGCGGGAUGAAGGCCUUCGGGUUGUAAACCGCUGUCAGAGGGGAGGAAAUGCCGGUGGGUUCUCCCAUCGGUUUGACCUAGCCUCAGAGGAAGGACGGGCUAAGUUCGUGCCAGCAGCCGCCGUAA